GGCUAGGUAGCUCAGUUGGUAGAGCAGCGGACUGAAAAUCCGCGUGUCGCCGGUUCGAUCCCGGCCUUGGCCACCA
rnacentral:tRNA from 2 species